rnacentral:rRNA from 1 species
GAUGAACGUUGGCGACGUGCCUAACACAUGCAAGUCGAGCGGUGAAAAGCGGACUUAAUCUUCGGAAAGAGGAAACUUGGAACAGCGGCGGACGGGUGAGUAAUACAUGAGCAACCUGCCUUGGACAGAGGGAUAGCCGUGGGAAACCGCGAUUAAUACCUCAUAAGACCCCACUAUCGCAUGAUAGAGAGGUCAAAGAUUUAUCGGUCCAAGAUGGACUCAUGACCCAUUAGCUAGUUGGUGAGAUAACAGCCCACCAAGGCGACGAUGGGUAGCCGGCUUGAGAGAGUGACCGGCCACAUUGGAACUGAGACACGGUCCAGACUCCUACGGGAGGCAGCAGUGGGGAAUAUUGCACAAUGGAGGAAACUCUGAUGCAGCGACGUCGCGUGAGCGAAGAAAGGUU